UCUCCUCUCCUCUCCUCUCCUCUCCUCUCCUCUCCUCUCCUCUCCUCUCCUCUCCUCUCCUCUCCUCUCCUCUCCUCUCCUCUUCUCCUCCUCUCCUCUCCUCUCCCCCUCCCCUCUCCUCCUCUCCUCUCUUCUUUUUCCUUUCCUUUCCUUUCCUUUCUUUUCCUCCUUUUCUUUUCUUUUCUUUUCUUUUCUUUUCUUUUCUUUCUUUCUUCCUUCCCUCCCUCCCUCCUUUCCUUCCCUUCCUUCCUUCCCUCCUUCCUUCCUUUCUUUCCUUUCUCCUAACACAAGAUGAUGGUGCAAAGAGCCAGAAAACUAGCUUCUGUACGCAAUUUUGAGCACAAGAAAACAAUAAAACCCAAAGAUCAAAACCCUAAAGGGGACAACGGCCAGUGGCUCAAAGCUAAAGGAGAAGGUGGUGCACAAUCCAAAUCCACGCCCCAGCCUUUGCCCUCCUUCCGCCCCAGGAAGGCCGACAGACAAAGCCACCCGGUGAGUCCAUGAGUAGGGGAACAAUGCCCUGGCGCUCAGCACAAAACGAAAGUCCGCUGCGGGGCCCGAGGGGAUGGCAGGCCGGGGCGCCUUGGGCCCACGCGUCCCGACCCCAACUCCCGACGCCAUUCAAGCAGACACCGCGCAGAACAAGGUCAGCUCUGUGCAGCGCGCGGCGGCAGCGCGGCCACCCCUGCUCCCGGGAAGCCCAGCGACGACAUCGGGAAAGGCGCCCACGGAGAGCUUACGAGCCCCACGAUCCCCGAGCCAAGCGCCCAGCCGGGAAGUAGAGCCGUCCGCGCGCGGAGGGAAACGCCGGGUGUAGUGCGGUUUGUCCUUGCUCUUAUAAGCAUGCUGCUCCCGGAACCGCUGCCUUAGACCGAGUUCGGGUUAUUUUCUGGCCAGGAUUCUACCUUCUGUGAGCCUGAGGAUCCGUCAUCUGCGCACUCCAGUGGCCCAGCGGCCGCCCAGCUCCAGCUUCGGGGACGUUCUGGGCCUGGAUUGCAUCCGAGGGUGAUUGCGCCCACUUCCAGGGAGCAGGUUUUACCAGUGUCUGUUCUGGUCAGUGGAGUGCUGUUCUGGUCAGGAUGGUGAGGAGUAAUGAGGAUAAUGCAGGUAACACUGUCUAAAAGCACAUCACACCCUCAAGAAGGAACCUAGCAUUAACUCAGUGUUAAUACAGGUAACAACUCACAAGGAUCUGAAAACAUAACAUGAGGAAAAUCGCAGAAAAGAUCACGACCAACUAGAGUCCAUGUUUAAAAGCUGUAAACAAAGCCUUUGCCUGGCCAGAAAACGAAAGUAGUACACUGCAGGCUGGACAAUAACUUUAUAGCUCAAAAGCAGUGGUGAUUACAUCACAGUUGCCACAAUUCACAGAAGUGUAAUCUAAAGGUAUAUAAAGUUUAUUCUGCUCAAACUGUAAGUAAAAUAAUGUCCUCAAAAGUUGGCCGAAGUAGGGUGUCUGUUUUGGGGGAGAAGCUGCUGCUAGGGGGUAGGUGACUGAGAGACAAGCUGAUAGGAAAAAAAUAUUUACUGCUUAGGAAAUUUACAUGAGCCUUAAAAGCAUCCUUCUCAGAACUAAGUCCUCUAAGAGUAGAUUCACUCCAACAAUAGAAAGAAAAUAUCCUAAAGAACAAUAUGGCAAUGUUGUUGCCUAAAGAACACCCAGAGCAAUUGAUGUACUUCUCCAGAUUUACUUAGCCCCACCAACCUCACCACCACCUCUGCUUCGUGGUGUCCAGGGCUGGCCUUUCUGCGGAGGGUUCCACUCCUGUUCCCUCCCUGACAGAUAACCCCCAACAAAUGAGGGUAAAGAUUCAACCCUGCUUCCUUAUAGGGGCCCUGAUGGUGGAAUGUUCUGCCUCUAUCUGCCCAAGGUCCCAGCGCAAGGUGAGUUAGAACAGUAUGAGACAAACCUUCACAGAGGCAGAAAACAAACACUACCCGGCAUAUCAGUCUCUACCACGGACACUCCCAAGGCUUGAGCUUUGCCUGAAAGCUGCAGAACGAACAGUCAGCUACACUUUCUCAUACGUGUUCACUAACGUGCUACUUUGUAUCUGUUUUCCUUUCUGUUUAGGAACAGUCAGCUGUACUUUCUCAUAAGUGUUCACUAACGUGCUACUUUGUAUUUGUUUUCCUUUCUGUUUAGGAACAGUCAGCAGUACUUUCUCACAAGUGUUCACUAACGUGCUACUUUGUAUCUGUUUUCCUUUCUGUUUCUCCUUGCUCUUGAUGCCCUGGGAUUCCAUCUUCUCAUCAAAUCUUAACACUUAAAAUUGCCCUCAAGGUUAGCUUUUCUUUGGCAGUGUUUGGGUGUUACGUAUACUUUCCUAAAGAUUUCACAACCAUGACAAACUUUUUUUUUUCUCUCUCUGUUUUGGCUCUGGAUUACUGUCUCAUUAAAGUGCUAGUUUAGAAGGCAAUCGGUUGAGAAUCAUUGCCAAAUAUUUGGGCUUGGGAGAGAGAUAAAAGUUUGGGCUUCUAUUUAUUUGGUUUCAAUUGGUGUUUCCUCAUACAAGCUAAUUCCUAGAUCAUAGGCUCUUACAUGCUUUCAACAUUUGGAAGUAUGAAAAGUUGAGAUGCAUGUUUGUGUAAAACAAAAAUACUUUCAAUUAUGCUUAUAAAACUGUUAAUCUGGAUCUCUAAUUAUAUGUUUUAGUGCAUCUUCACAAAGCUGUUUUGCUUGUUCUAAAAUCACUAGGAGAAGAUAAAUUAUGAGCCUUUUACCGCAACCUCUAGCUCACAGUGCUUUGCAAAACAAUUUUUCUUGACACUAUUUUAAAUAUAAGAGCAUUAGGUUCAUGAUUUUAAUAAUAAUUGCACAGGUUUGUGGCAACAUGUUUAUUGAAGAUUCAUCAGACACAUUCUGCCUCCCACCUGGCUUGCCAAUCAUCUGUAAUUUGAUCAACAGUAAUUCGAGAUGGGACUCAGUAGGGUCAGAUGUUAAAUAGAACAUUUCCACUUUUCUAACCACAAAAUCCUCCCUCUCUUGGCCACUUAAAACCUGUUACAUAAUCUGCAAACACAUGAAUGUAAUGAUUUCUGCUGCAGGCCUUGGUAAAGAUCACAUACCUGCAAACUUGCUUUUCUAUUGCAGUUUACUGCUUAAAAUUCUAGCCUUGAAAGCCACUUAAAAUACAUAAUCUGCUUUCAUCUACAUCUGUAGCUAGUGAAUUGGUGUUUGCAAUGAAAACUUUUUCUCUUAUUGUGUUUACAAUUUUUAAUAUUUGCACUUGAAAGCCAUCCCAUCUGAAUUUAAUUAUGACAAAAAAUGAAGCGAGGCUGUACAGAUAAUGUGUACAUUUUCAAAGAAAGAAAAAGACAUUUAGGGAUAUCUUAGGUUAUUCAUAUCUAUGCAAUAUCAAACGUUAUCUUAAUAAAGGAACAGAAGAGUAUCUCCUUAAUUUAUGGCUGCUAGUUCUUCCCAAAUUUAUGAGUAUAGACAGUGUUCAGCAACCAUGCAGUUUUAUACUUACAAAAUAGGCACUGGCCUCAGUAGUAGGUCAAAAGCUGGCCGCAAUUGUGUCCCAUUACUCAAACACUUUUAGAAUUCUUAUGCCACUAGUGUCUGAGUCACAUUAUUUUAAAUGACAUGUUCAGUGUUAACAAAUCUCCACCCCCCCCCCCCGAGCAGAUCAAACUGUUAGAAAUAUCUGAAGGUCACUUGCAACCACAGCUAGCUUACCGGCAUUGUUUAACAGGUGAGAUUUCAAUGAGAAGGAAGGAAAUUGAGUGAACUGAGCAGCACAUAAAACACAACAACCAAACCACCACCAUCAUCAUCAUCAUCACCACCAUCAUCGUCGUCAUUGUCGUCAAGAAAGGACUGAAGAAUGAUUGCAUGAGAAAUGGAUGAAUUAGAUAGAGACCAAUAAAAUGGAUCAAUUCAAAAAGAAAGGUCAAGGAGGAGAAAUCCCUGAAUUUUUUAUUUAAUGAAAUAUACAGAGCAUAAAUAAAACUACAAAACACAAAGGA
rnacentral:lncRNA from 1 species